UCUCACACACUGAUCCAAACUGGAAUGUGAUAUGAGUAGGAGAGUUGGUUUGCUUGCACACCGCUGGUGUACCACUACCCCCGAUACCUCAACACUAUGUAAUACUUGAAGAAAUUAGAUUAAUUUUCUAUCAUCCAGUGAAACAUUAGCUCAAAACAGA
rnacentral:lncRNA from 1 species